UUGCAGGAUCAAAACAGGUAGCAUUCCUCACAGACAUCGGGCCGCACAAAGCUUGCGCCAGUGCGACGCCGACAGUCGUUCGAAUGUAUUUUUCGACGAUUGUCGCAGGCAAAUAGGGGUCGAAGACCCCGUGCCCCCAGCGUAUUCCGCAUCCCAGAGCCCGAACGAGUAGUCGUGCCCCGCGACAACGAAGCCAAUGGCUUGAAGACGAGGAUCACGAAUAUCGUUUCGAGGUUCACCCGAAGCCGCACCGUGGAAACGGACAGCCCUGGGUGGACGAGGGAACAUUGGCAACCGAAUUCCAUGACGUGGGUACGCAACACAGGAAACCGACCGAACGGCCAAGGCUAGAGUCGCUCUUGGGCCAACCAUGAAGAGGACCGCACGGUUGGACGUCGCUGCACGGAGCAGGGAUCCAACAAACCCAUACAAGA
rnacentral:misc_RNA from 1 species